CUUGGGCAGUGCAAAGCAGGUGUGUUCAGCAAAUCUCUUCUUCCAUGUGUACAGCAGACAGACCUUCCCAGUUGAUCAGAGGAUCGCCAGUAGGAUUGAAGCCUCUUUGCACACAGUGGUGCCUGGAUUGGAGGUAGUCACUUGGUGGGGAAAGGGGGCUGGAUGUAGAAGCCAUGGAAGAAGGCAGAGCUUCUGUCAUCUUGAGGCACUGAUGUGA
rnacentral:lncRNA from 10 species